GACGUCGUGCCCGAGUGGUUAAGGGGAGUGAUUAGAAUGUUUACAUUUGAUUAUCACUUACGUUCUGCGUGCGCAAGUUCGAGUCUUGUCGACGUCG